AAUACCCUAUUAUUUUAAAAGUAAUUAAUUAAAUCUAAUUAGUAAUAGUUAAGUUCUUGAAAAUUAAAGAAUUUGGCGGUAUUUUAGUCUAUUCAGAGGAAUCUGUCCUAUAAUUGAUAAUCCACGAUUAUUUAUACCUAAAUUAUUAAUUUGCAUAUCGCCGUAGUUUGAAUAUUUUUUGAAAAUUAUAAUAUUCACAAUUUAUUUUUAUAAAAAAAAUCAGGUCAAGGUGUAGUUUAUAUUUAGGAAGAGAUGGGUUACAAUAAAAAUAUUUAUUAUGGAUUAAUUAAUUAAAUUUUUUUAUGAAAGUGGAUUUGAAAGUAAUUUUAUUUA
rnacentral:rRNA from 1 species